UCGAGCGCGGACCAGUCUACUGCUAGCAAUCGCCACUGCAAGCAACUUUACCUUCUCGAGAAAUACAUUUCAAAUUCAUUUGUUAGAGUAGAGAAUGCUAUCCUGUGCAGCUAUGAACUGCACUAACAGGCAGUUUAAGGGAUGUGGAAGGACAUUUCAUUUGUAAGUUAGCAUUAAAAUGGGCAAAUUUAUGAUAAAAACAGCAUUAUUAUGCGUAGCCUAUGACCAACUUGUUUGUAGACGCUCCUGCCAGCGAAGCAGCGGACGGCGGCGGACAGCGACAUACGGCAGAUUGUGUAAUCUAACUACAGUACAGUAGGCCUAUUUGUAGUUGAAUGAACGCUAUGUCUAUGCAUUUUAUAUGUUUAAUAGUUUGGAACAAUAAUUCAGAAAUUGACCAUUUCUGAUUCCAUAACCGAUGAUAACGUUAGCGCAGUAGGCCUACACUGUACAGGCUACAGGUGUAUUGUAAUUUUGUUAUGUUUUGUGUGGCGAACCAGCCUGUGUAACGUGUUCCUCGUGUCGCUCGCGGACAUAGCCCCUGCGCCGUGCUGGGUAUGUUGUGUGCGUUAGCAAAGGUCUGUACCCUCGAUCGCUAGGUACUUGUACUAAGGCCGACAAGGCUGUGCAACCGAUUGUCUAUCUUCUAACCCUAGCAAGACCGUUUCUUGGAGCUAGGUACUUGUAAAAAGUUGUAUUGUUGUCAUGAUGUAAAAUUAAAUGUAGCUAAACCAAAUUAGCUACCCCACAUUGUAA